UUCCCUCUCAAGAUUUUGUCUGCAACUCACAACCACACACACCUCCCUCUCGUGGAUUUCCGGCGACCGGAGCCGCACUCCGGCGAGCUCCGGCGUCUCAGCUUCGCACAACAACAACCACAGCUCAUCACCUCUUCACACUCCCCCUCCCCCUGUUCGAUUGAAUCUCCGACCACCACCAUUGCAGUGGUGGCGCACGGCGGUGGGUAUAGAGGACGACGAGAAGAGAGAGAGACAGAGAACGACCGAGGAGAGAGAGAAUUGAAGGAAGAGAGAGAGUAAUCGGAGGUUGGAGACGGCGGGGGUCAGCGCUUCUGGUCAGCGAGCCGACAUCGAUGCCGGCAGCCUCACCGGCGUCAGCGACGGUGACGGCGGUGUAUGUCUCGAGCCUCGGUUUAGGUUAGGUUCUAUUUCGGCUCAGUUAACCUCUCGAUGUCCGGGUUGGCUCGGGUGCUCGUCUCGGGUCAACAGUGGUUUCAGGUCAACGGUGCGUUCGGGCCAGUUGGAGAUGCGGAUCAGAUUGCGUGUUUCGGUUCAUUGUAGUUUGAAUUUUUGAUUCAGUCUCGGUUCAUUUUAACGUCUCGAUCAAGUCCGAGCUUUGUUCAGGCUAUGUUUGGUUUCGUUUCGGGUCCAGUCAACAGCAGUCAAUUCGGUCAACGAAAGUCAACCGGUCAACUGCUGGUCAACUUCUGAUCCGAGACUUGGGUGACCUCGAUGUUUCGUCCUCCUAAUCUCGUACGCUCGUCAACACUUGGAUAAUCGGAAGACUAGGCAAUUGCGUGAGUAUAC